rnacentral:lncRNA from 1 species
CAAAAGUUCACAUAAUUGAUCUGCUUAUGGACCAUCUUGUCUCUUACUAAUCUCUUAUUACUUGUGUUGUGAUAUCAUUUUACACUGGAAAUCAUGACCUACAGGCAGCAGCUGAAAGAUAGAAGGAUUCUGUGUGAACCACCAGUUAUUUAGGAGCUGGUAGGUGUUGGGGCUUUUUUCCUGAAACAGUAAUGAGUGCAGUCUGAUAGCUGAAGAAGAUAAAAUCUUGGCCGUAGCAGCAAAGUUUGUACAGUUUCUCCAGCCACAAGUGCCGUGAGCUGGUGAUAGCAGGCAAAUGUGGCUGCCAUCAUAUAUCUAUCUAUAUCUUCAGCCCCACAGAGCAAGGCUCCCUGGCAGAGAUUGGUAUUGCUUCUGAUCCAUGCACUUCCAAUAUUUGCUAGGAAUGGCAGUAUCUUGCUAGAAGGAUUAUACAAUGCUGCUAAUGACUAUUAAUUUGUUAAAGGAAUUAAGCAACUAGCCCUUAGGAUGAAGAUUUCAGGAAACCAGCAAAGUGCUUUGAACUGAAGAAGCACAGGACUUGAGAUGCACACAAUAUAAAAAGAAAGCAGUUAUGAUGCUAAGAGGGACAAUGCUGCCUACACCCAGGUGAAAUUACAAGAUGUUUGGCUGGGGAAUUGCAACAUAAAGGGAUUACUCACCACAAAGGAAAAUUCCAGAAGAGUUUUUCCAGAAAAAGCAGCAAAGAAGGCAUUAAAUUACAUGCUAUUUAUUUCUUUACUGUGAGGCCCUCAUGGUACCUUUACUCCAAGAAUUAUGCACUUAUGAUAUGACUCAAUAGCAACAAAUGGAAGACAUCAUGUCUAGAUCUAUCUUUACAUGAGAAUAUGAUACAACAAUUACAUUUAUAAACCUGUAAGAUCAGCACACAAAUUUUUGAGCAGUGUGUAUAAUAGCGAAUUCAUCAUCUUCUCCAGCAUUCUAAAUGCCAUUCUUGCAGCAAGGAAUGAGGACAGGUCAGCAUCAUGGGCACUACUAAAGAACCAUCGGUACCCACUAUUCUUUGACACGAGGAUAGAAAGUAUUCAACUUCUUAAAAGAUGUGCUAUGACUUCAAAUAUGUUUUUAGAUCCAACUAUGACUGGCUGAGACUCUUCUAAGGGCAUGGCAGAGCAGGGAAUUUAAUCCUGUCUUAUAUAUUCCUGGAUAUGAAAGCAACAUGCUGCUACAUAACAAAAGUUACUGACUGCCCAUCUGCAAGCCAUGUUCUCUGUCUUUCUGCCUCCAACCUUCCCUUUUCAGUCCUAAUGACUAAAUAAACAAAACCAGAAACAUUUUUCA